rnacentral:rRNA from 1 species
UACGUAGGGUGCAGGCGUUAAUCGGAAUUACUGGGCGUAAAGCGUGCGCAGGCGGUUUCUUAAGUCAGAUGUGAAAGCCCCGGGCUUAACCUGGGAACUGCGUUUGAAACUGGGAGACUUGAGUGUAGCAGAGGGGGGUGGAAUUCCACGUGUAGCAGUGAAAUGCGUAGAUAUGUGGAGGAACACCGAUGGCGAAGGCAGCCCCCUGGGUUAACACUGACGCUCAUGCACGAAAGCGUGGGGAGCAAACAGG